AGAAAGGCACUAGCUCACUGGUAGAGCAUCCGCUUUGCAUGCAGAAGGUUCCGGUUCAAUCCCUGACUUCUCUG